rnacentral:rRNA from 1 species
AGCGAACGCUGGCGGCAGGCCUAACACAUGCAAGUCGAACGGCCCCUUCGGGGUUAGUGGCGGUCGCGUGUGUCACACGUCGGAAGGUUCCUUUAUGUUCGGGAUACCUCAGGGAAACUUGUGCUAACACCGAGUGUGCCCUUCGGGGGAAAGUUUCAUCGCCUUUAGGGCGGCCGGCGUUUGAUUAGCUAGUUGGUUGAGGUUAUGGCCCAGCAAGGCGACGAUCAGUAGCGGGUCUGAGACGAUGAUCAGCCACAUCGGGACUGAGACACGGCCGAAUCUCCUACGAGGGGCAGCAGUGGGAGAUCUUGCGAAAGGGGCGAAAGCGAGGGGCAGCCGUGCCGAGUGAAUGAUGGAGGUGUGAGGAUUGUAAAAUUCUUACACCGGGGGCGUUUGUCGCGAUACCAGGAAUAAGAACCGGCUAAAUCCGCG